UUCCUCAUUGACUCAGUGGUAGAGCGGCCGGUUGUUAACUGAUUGGUCGUAGGUUCGAAUCCUAUUUAGGAAG